rnacentral:rRNA from 1 species
GACGAACGCUGGCGGCGUGCCUAAUACAUGCUAGUCGAACGCAGUUGCGAACGGGUGCGUAACGCUUAGUUAACUGCCUCAUAGCGGGGGAUAACUAUUGGAAACGAUAGCUAAUACCGCAUACUGUGAGAUUGACCUGCGGUGUAUUAGUUAGUUGGGUAGGUAAAGGCUCACCAAGGCGACGAUACAUAACCGACCUGAGAGGGGGAGCGGCCAACCUGGGACUGAGAAACGGCCCAGACUCCUACGGGAGGCAGGAGUAGGGAAGCGUUGGCAAAGGAAGGAAGUCUGAACGAGCAACGGCGGGUGAGGGAAGAAGGGUUUCGGAUUGUAAAGAGUCGUUGUUAGAGAAGCGGUAACUAACCAGAAAGGGACGGCUAACUACGUGCCAGCCGCCGCGGUAAUAC